rnacentral:lncRNA from 1 species
UUUAAGAACAUCGUCAAAAGACUGAUUUUGUAAUGACAAGUAUGUGGAAAUACCUUUAUGAACCCAUGGAAGUUUAUAAUAUUGAUCAUCGUUAACAUUAACUGCAUGAUCAUAUAUAUAACUAUUGUCACUAAUAUUUUCUGAAUUUACUGAAAAUUUACUAUUCAUUACAUGAUCAAUAAAUUUACAUGGAUUUUCAUAAAAUUUUUUAUAAUAUAAUCUUAUAGUAUUUUUAUGUUCUAUUUUAUUUAAUAUAUUAACAAUAUGCUUAUCCAUAUCUUCUAUUUCGUUUUGUAUUUCAUGUAUUUUUUCAAAUAUAGAAAUGGUUGCAGAUGAUGAACAGUUUAAGCAUUUAUUAUCAAUAUUGUUAUUAUCAAUAUUUUGUUUAUCAUUAUUUUUUUUAUCAAUAUUUUGUUUAUCAUUAUUUUUUUUAUCAAUAUUUUUUUUAUCGUUAUUUGUUUCGUCAUUUCCUACGUCUUCAUUUCUUUCAUAAUUAUCUUUUUUUAAAUUUUUAUCUUCUGACAUGUCAUCUAUAGAUUUUACAUUUCCUUCUUCCUUUUUUGGAUCUGUUUCUUUAAUUUCUACAUUUUCGUUUGGCAACACAUGAUUAUUAAUGGAUUCUCUUUUGUCAUUGCAUCUAAUAUCUUUACUGUUAUAAUCUGUAUUAUCAUUAUCGUUAUUGUCAUAAUCGGUAAAUAUCGAUUCGUUAGUUUGUUCAAUAACACCAGUAUCGAUGUCAUUUCCCCUUUGUGGUCGACUCUUAGUAGAAAGCUCUGUUUCAUUCACUUUUAAAAAUUCGAUUAAAUUAUUUAGUGCAUGUGAGUCUAAUAUAAAUUUUUGACGUUGUCCAUUAUCCAAAGUCAUAAAUGGCUCAAAGAUAUCAAUAACAAUAUCGUAUAUACUUUCUGACUCAUAUGCAUUUUCAAAAUCAAAUGUAUGUUCUAACACUAUUGGUUUUUGUAUAAUAAGAUGUUUUUGUAAAAGUUUUGGUAAAUCUGAAAUUUUGUAUUCAUCCACUUCUAAUAUAGCUUUUAAUGCUUCAUCUGUUUUCAUAUUAUUAUUCGAAUCAAUUAAUCCUUUUUCUAAACUAUACUCAUAAAUAAAUUUUAUUAUUUCUGGCA